rnacentral:rRNA from 1 species
UACGGAGGGUGCAAGCGUUGUCCGGAAUCAUUGGGCGUAAAGCGCGUGUAGGCGGCUUGGCAAGUCGGUUGUGAAAGCCCGGGGCCCAACCCCGGAACUGCAUCUGAAACUGCCUGGCUAGAGUCCCGGAGAGGAAGGCAGAAUUCCCGGUGUAGGGGUGAAAUCCGUAGAUAUCGAGAAGAACGCUCGCAGCGAAAGCGAGGCUCUGGGCAAUUUCUGACGCUGAUGCACGAAGGCUAGGGGAGCAAACGGG